rnacentral:rRNA from 1 species
CAGCGAGCGCGAGCGCGGCGGGUGGAGGAGGGCAAGGAGGUCGGAGCGGAGGGAGAGGGAGGUUUGGGAUCUUGUCGCGGACGGAGGAACGGGGCGGCGGUAGUAGAGGAAGCAGCUCGGCUGCUGGGUACCGCGCGGGCAGACGAGGCGGGCGCGAGCGCAGCGGGGGAGAGGAGAAGGAGCGCGGAGCGGAGAGAGAGGGAGGAUUGGGAUUGGGUGAGGGCGGAGGGACGGGGCGGCGGCCGGCGGCGGCGAGCGGACCCGUGGGUAGGAGCUGGAGUUCGACCCGGUCCGCUGCCGGUACCGCACCUAGAGAACGGGGAGAGAAGCACGAGAAAAGGGAGCUAGACAGCCCUGGUGGGAGGAGGAGGGCAGGAGAGGGUACGGGUGGGAGGAGGAGGCGCAGGAGAGCAAGAGGAGAGGCCGCCAGCCGCUGCUCCGCAGCCUUGACUGCCUCGUCGCCCCGGCAGCUCGCUCCCGUGCUCGUCCCAUGUCUGGGAUCGGCACGCACACGUAUUCCAGCUCGUGCUGUCGCUACUACCCGCGGCAGCGGUAGCCGGCCUCAUCGUGUACGAGUGCGGCGACGAGGCAUCCCAAGUAGUAGCACAACGGUAGCAGGAACAAAAAACGCACGUGCGUCCUUUGGUUGUCAGAAGUUACAUCACUCUCGACCUACACAACAGGCGGUCGACUCGCCGUUCGGCAACUACGUUCAGCAACAUGUACCACGACGAUAAUUUAAGAUCGAUCCCGUACUUUGUCUUCUUUCGAACUCUGUUAGUAGUACACGGACGAGUUUCCGAACCAAUUGUUUCCACUGUUAUUCUACACACCUGUUGAUUAACGGUCCACCGAUUGAACUACCAAAAUAACGACAACGUAUACACACUCUAAAGAAAGGAGUGAUGGGUACGACUGUAUUUAUAAGACAACAAGAUAAAGUCUAAUGUGCUAGACGAAAGAAUAUAAGAGAUACGUGUUUAAUAAAUGAAGGAACUCGAUACUAAAAUCUGACAGUUAUCAACUAGUUACACCUCCAUUCUUUCUAACAAACUACGCAAAUCGAUAUAGUCAAGUACUCAUAAACGUCGAUACAUGUGAGUCCACUAGUAAGUAACUAAGUGGGUAAAGAAAGAGGAAUGUUAAUUAAGAGAUUUAGAACUCAGGUAACUAACUAAACAAAGGUACUCAAUGAUACUCCAUAACACACACUUCCUAGAAUGACGGUAUCAAAACACAUACUGUGGUUUAUUUCAAGUGCCGGAAUUUACCUCCCAAUUAAUUUCACCAGGGUACAAUGAAUUUAAGUAUAAACUAUAGAAUACCAUACAACGAAGUCGUUAACACAGUAAACGAAUUAACCGUCUAGGCCGGUUCCCACUAAUUCCGCGGUUAGUGUAAAAGUACGUAGGACUCGCUCCUCCUCGCCACCUAGUGAGAGCACUACAACCGGUACAACCUACGUUGGCCGCUAGACGAGCGCCUUCUACUCGACGUGACCUACACCUCGACGCGACCUCGUCGCCUCGCCGCCUAAACGCCGCCGCGGCAGCAGGAGUACAACAGUAGUAGGAGUGCUCAGGUGUGUACCUCUUCCUCGUCGGCGGUACCUCAUGAUGUCCUCGCCUAGUACGGGUUGUCCUGGUGCGGGUCCUGUACCGGCACCUAGUUUGACGACGUGGGACCCCGACCACGAACACUACACGCUGCUCCUCUUCGCUAAACUUUAGGACCCUCGUUUCCUCCUUCUGCUGCUACCCCUAUCGCUAAGUUUUGUCCCUAUCGCUACAUUUAAGGAAACAAAAGUGGACCAACAUUGCAAAAGAAGUUGUUGUAUAAAACCUUGCCUCCCUCAUCAAAAUACGGCCAUAACUCGUGGUAAUACAGAGCGAGGAUAGUGUUAAAUUAUAAAGAGGAAGUAACAUAACAAUAGUAUAUACUUAUGUGUACUAUUUGGACCUAAUGAUAGCUGAUUCGUAAGGGACGA